rnacentral:lncRNA from 1 species
UGUCACUUAAUUUUCUGCCGUAUGUUUCUUUCUCUGUGGAGGUUUUUUCCGUUAUUUCCGUUAUUAUUUCCGUUAUUUCUGUUUUUUCUGUUAUUUCCGUUGUUCUUCUUGGCCUGUCAUCUAAGUUACUGAAGUAUGUUUCUGUCUCUCUGGAUAUUAUUUCCGUUAUUUCCGUUAUUUCUGCUAUUUCUGUUUUUUCUGUUGUUCUUCUUGGCCUGUCAUCUAAGUUUCAGAUGUAUGUUUCUGUUUCUCUGGAGUUUGUUUCCGUUAUUAUUUCCGUUAUUUCCGUUAUUAUUUCAGUUAUUUCUGUAAUUAUCUUUGUUAUUUCCGUUGCUCUUCUUGGCCUGUCAUCUAAGUUUCUGCUGUAUGUUUCUGUCUCUCUGGAGUUUGUUUCCGUUGUUUCCCUUGUUUCCAUUGUGUCUGUUAAUUCCAUUGUUCUUCUUGGCCUGUCAUCUAAGUUUCUGCAAUAUGCUUCUGUCUCUCUGGUUGUUAUUUCCGUUAUUUCCGUUAUUUCCGUUAUUUUUGUUAUUUUCGCUCUAUCCGUUAUUUCCUUCAUUUUUCUUGGCCUGUCAUCUAAGUUUCUACUGUAUGUUUAUGUCUCUCUGAAGUUUGUUUCCGUUGUUUCCAUUGUUUCCUUGGUGUCCGUUAUUUCCGUUGUUCCUCUUGGGCUGUCAUCUAAACUUCUGCUGUAAGUUUCUGUCUCUCUGGAGGUUAUUUCCGUUAUUUCCAUUAUUUAUUUCCGUUAUUUCCGUUCUUUAUUUUAGUUAUUCUUGUUGUUUAUUUCCGUUAUUUCCAUUAAAUAUUUAUGUUAUUUCAGUUAUUUAUUUCCGUUAUUUCCGUUGUUCUUCUUGGCCUUUCACCUAAGAUUCUGCUGUAAGUGUCUGUCUCUCUGGAGGUUAUUUCCGUUGUUUCCGUUGUUUCCGUUCUUUCCGUUAUUUCUGUUAUUUCCAUUGUUCUUCUUGGCCUGUCAUCUAACUUUCUGCUGUAUGUUUCUUUCUUUCUCUCUGCAGUUUAUUUCCGUUAUUUCCAUUAUUUCUGUUAUUUUUGUUGUUCUUCUUGGCCUGUCAUCUAAAUUUCUGCUGUAUGUUUCUGUCUCUAUGGAGGCUGUUUCCGUUAUUUCCGUUAUUUCUUUUAUUUCCAUUGUUCUUCUUGGCCUGUCAUCUAAGUUUCUGCAGUAUUUUUAUGUCUCUCUGCAGGUUGUUUCCGUUGUUUCCAUUGUGUCUGUUAUUUCCGUUGUUCUUCUUGGCCUGUCAUCUAACUUUGUGCUGUAUGUUUCUGUCUCUCUGGAGGUUGUUUCCGUUAUUUCUGUUGUUCUUCUUGGCCUGUUAUCUAAGUUUCUGCAGUAUGUUUCUGUCUGUUGGGAGUUUACUUCCCUUGUUAUUUCUGUUAUUUCCGUUACUAAUUCCGUUAUUUCCGUAAUUAUUUCUGUUAUUUCCAUUGUUCUUCUUGGCCUGUCAUCUAAGUUUCUGCAAUAUGUUUUUGUCUCUCUGGUUGUUAUUUACGUUAUUAUUUCCUUUAUUAUUUCCAUCAUUAUUUUUUUUUCUUGUUGUUGUUGUUGUUGUUUCCGUUUUUUCUUUUUUUUUCCCAUUUUUUUCUGUUAUUUCCGUUACACUUCUUGGCCUGUCAUCGAAGUUUCUGCAGUAUGUUUCUUUCUCUCUGGAGGUUAUUUUCGUUAUUUCCGUUAUUUCCUUUAUUUUCCUUGGUCUGUCAUCUAAGUUUCUGCAGAAUAUUUCUGUGUCUCUGGUGGUUAGUUCCGUUAGUUCCGUGAGUUUCGUUGUUUAUUUCCAUUAUUUCUGUAAUUUAUUUCCUUUAUUAUUUUCGUUAUUCUUUCCGUUAUUCUUCUUGCCUGUCAUCUAAGUUUCUGCAGUAUGUUUCUGUCUCUCUGGAGGUUAUUUCCGUUAUUUCCGUUAUUUCCGUUAUUUCCAUUUUUUCAGUUAUUUUCUUUACUUUUCUUGGACUGUCAUCUAAGUUUCUGCUGUAUGUUUCUUUCUCUCUGGAGGUUAUUUCCGUUAUUUCCAUUAUUUCCGUUAUUUCAGUUAUUUUCUUUACUUUUCUUGGCCUGUCAUCUAAGUUUCUGCAGUAUGUUUCUUUCUCUCUGGAGGUUAUUUCCGUUAUUUCCAUUAUUUCCGUUAUUUCAGUUAUUUCCUUUAUUCUUCUUGGCCUGUCAUCUAAGUUUCUGCUGUAUGUUUCUGUAUAUCUGGAGGUUAUUUCCGUUAUUUCCAUUAUUUCCGUUAUUUCAGUUAUUUCCUUUAUUCUUCUUGGCCUGUCAUCUAAGUUUCUGCUGUAUAUUUCUGUCUCUCUGGAGGUUUUUUCCAUUAUUUUCGUUAUUUUGGUUAUUUCUGUAUUUUCGUUAUUUCCGUAAUUAUUUCCGUUAUUUCCGUUGUUCUUCUUGGCCUGUCAUCUAAGUUUCUGCUGUAAGUUUCUGUCUUGCUGGUUAUUAGUUCCUUUUGUUCCGUUAGAUCCGUUAUUUAUUUCCGUUAGUUCUGGAAUUUAUUUCCGUUAGUUCCGUUAUUUAUUUCCAUUACUUUCGUCUUUUAGUUCCCUUAUUUAGUUCCGUUAUUUAAUUCCGUUUUUUCCGUUGUUCUUGGACUGUCAUCUAAGUUUCUGAAGUAUGUUUCUUUCUCUCUGGAGUUUAUUUCCUUUCUUUCCCUUAUAAUUUCCCUUAUUAUUUCCCUUAUUAUUUCCCUUAUUUCCCGUAUUUUUUCCCUUAUUUCACUUAUUCUGUUAUUUCCCUCAUUUCCCUUUUUUCCGUUAUUUCCCUUAUUUCCGUUAUUUACCUUAUUUUCUUUAUUUCCCUUAUUUCUGUUGUUUCUGCUAUUUCUGUUUUUUCCAUUGUUCUUCUUGGCCUGUCAUCUAAGUUUCAGAUGUAUGUUUCUGUCUCUCUGGAGUUUGUUUCCGUUAUUAUUUCCAUUAUUAAUUCAGUAAUUUCCGUAAUUUACUUUAGUUAUUCCCGUUAUUUAUUUCCGUUUUUUCCAUUAUUUAUUUAUGUUAUUUCAGUUAUUUAUUUCCGUUAUUUCUGUAGUUCUUCUUGGCCUGUCAUCUCAGUUUCUGCAGUCUGUUUCUGUCUCUCUGGAGGUUAUUUCCGUUAUUUCCAUUAUUUCCGUUAUUUCUGUUAUUUCCG